UACGUAGGGCGCAAGCGUUGUCCGGAAUUAUUGGGCGUAAAGAGCUCGUAGGCGGUCUGUCGCGUCCGUUGUGAAAACUCGAGGCUCAACCUCGGGCCUGCAGUGGGUACGGGCAGACUAGAGUGCGGUAGGGGAGAUUGGAAUUCCUGGUGUAGCGGUGAAAUGCGCAGAUAUCAGGAGGAACACCGAUGGCGAAGGCAGGUCUCUGGGCAUUAACUGACGCUGAGGAGCGAAAGCAUGGGGAGCGAACAGG
rnacentral:rRNA from 1 species